rnacentral:rRNA from 1 species
CCUUGUACACACCGCCCGUCACACCAUGGGAGUUGGUUUUACCUUAAGACGGUGUGCUAACCGCAAGGAAGCAGCCGGCCACGGUAAGGUCAGCGACUGGAGUG